AUGAUCUUGGACGCUUUUGCUCAACAAUGCAGCCGAGUCCUUAGCCUCUUAAAUUGUGGAGGCAAACUUCUAGACUCCAACCAUUCUCAAUCCAUGAUAUCUUGUGUGAAGCAGGAAGGCUCAAGUUACACUGAAAGACAGGAACCAUGUCCUGUUGGCAAAGGGGUCCACAGUCAGACCUCAGACAAUUUAGACAUUGAAAUGCAAUAUAUGCAAAGGAAACAACAAACUUCUGCAUUUUUGAGAGUUUUCACCGACUCCCUGCAAAAUUACCUGCUCUCAGGGAGCUUUCCAACUCCAAACACCUCCUCGGUCAGCGAGUAUGGCCACCUGGCGGAUGUGGAUCCUCUGUCAACAUCCCCCGUGCACACGCUAGGUGGCUGGACCUCCCCAGCAACAUCUGAAUCCCAUGGUCACCCAUCAUCAUCUACGCUGCCUGAGGAGGAAGAGGAGGAGGAAGAGGAAGGCUACUGUCCCCGAUGCCAAGAGCUGGAGCAGGAGGUGAUUUCGCUGCAACAAGAAAACGAAGAACUCAGAAGAAAGCUAGAGAGCAUCCCAGUGCCCUGCCAGACCGUCUUAGAUUACCUGAAGAUGGUGCUCCAGCAUCACAACCAGCUCAUGAUCCCACAGCCAGCUGACCAGCCGACCGAGGGAAGCAAGCAGCUGUUGAACAACUAUCCUGUCUACAUAACGAGCAAACAGUGGGAUGAGGCUGUAAAUUCUUCAAAGAAAGAUGGGAGGCGGCUCCUUCGAUACCUCAUCAGAUUUGUUUUCACUACCGAUGAGCUUAAGUACUCAUGCGGCCUUGGAAAAAGGAAAAGAAUUCAUUAGGAUGCACUGUACCUCCAACCCCGACUGGUGGAUGCCCUCAGAGGAGCAGAUAAACAAAGUGUUCAGCGAUGCUGUGGGUCACGCCCGGCAGGGGCGAGCCGUGGGCACUUUCCUGCACAACGGAGGCUCCUUUUAUGAAGGGAUCGAUCACCAACCUUCCCAGGAUGAAGUCUUCAAUAAAAAUUCCCAGGAUGGAUCUGGUGAUUAGUAGACAAAAUCUUUCCACACGAGCAGCCAGUCCUCUCGAGUUCCAGUGGUGAAUGUUCUAUUACCAUCACUUUAGAAUCCAAAGCAUGUCACUCUAUCAGACUUUACACCUCCUAAACCUAAACUCUCUUGACCUACUGCCAAACAGCUCCCAAUACAAGCCCAUUUUCGGGUUGUUUGGAAAGUGUAUGGAGCCUGCAGAGAUUUUCAGAAUACUAUAUUAUACAAAGAAAAAACUACAGUUGAUUUCAAAUGAUGACUAGUUAGAUGGUGAGGGUGAAAAAAGAUAGGCGAGUUCUUGGUCGCCUGUCUGAUGCCUUCAGGUAAGCUCUGCUUCGUGAGCAGAGCUGGUCCCCAUGGAGGUUAGUCUGGUGCUCAUGGGAGAAGCUUGAGACACAGCAUUGUCCUGAGGGACACGGAACAGGCAUUCUCAUUUUAGUUCAGAUAAGUUGUCUUUAUGUUUUCCAAAGACUUGAAUUUAUACUUCUCAGCAAAGACAUGGGAUAGGUGACAUUUUAUGUUGUGUCUACAUUGACAGAACCUGUUACUAAAACAGAAACCAGAGAUCAGAGGUCACCUCUAGACAAUGAUGAGUUGGAAGCUAGCUCUUUCUCUUUGUUACUUUUCACCAAAAAAUAAAAUUUCUACUGUGUUAAUAAGGAAGACACUAUAUGAUCUCUGGGAUUGACAAACAGUAAAAGUUUUCACUGUGUCAGUCAAGAAACAUCCAAAGAUCCAAAACCAUUUUCAAAUGCUCAAUUUUGUAGGUUCAUAGAUGCACAAUUUCCACAGCCUUAAACCAGGCUCUGUUGACACAAUGCCAAAGUGAUGGGCUGAACAAUGAGAAUUUCAAUCAGCUAGCCGUUUGGUGCACUGAGGACCAAACAAGUGGUGAGGCCAAUGGUAUUCACUGAAUUUGUUCUGGAAUUGUAUACACACAGCUUCAAGGCCAUUCUGACAACUAUGCAACGGGCUUGUUUGUAAUUUCUCUGAAAUUUGAGGGUCUUUUUGUGCUGAGUUGAUCUUUAGAAUUUGCAUAAAUCUUGUUUCUCUUUGUCACCAAUGGAAAUGUUUCACCCCAGUUGUUGUACUUGCUUCCCUCCAAUAUUCCCCUGAAUUUCUGGCCUUGGCUGAGUUAGCGUGGACUUUUCCCACCUGCUUUCCCCAGUUUAAUUUGUUGAGCUCAAGUUUGUAGUAGUGUCUUUGGAAUCAUUUCGUAUCACCAGAUGCUCUAGAGAUGAUAGAAUCUGUUUCUGCUUAAGGUGUGGGUAGGAGGGGAGGCUUCCUUUAUCACCCUAAUCCAGAUAACUGCAUUCUUUGUAAAGCUUAGGGCUAAAUGGGCAGCUUUUAUUAAAGGCUGCUGCUGUUUAAGGCUUCACUGGGAAUGGAGAGGAUAACAUUAGAGCGUUUGUUAAAAAAAAAAAAGUCAUCUCUUUUGAUAGGGAAAUUGAAAGAUGUUAUAUAUGUGGCUACUUCACAGCCAUAGAGCAAGUGGGUGAUUUCCUAUUCUGGGUCUGUCUUAGCCCUUCAUUGGUCAUAAACAUUGACUGUGUAGUCUUUUGCCAGUCAUAAACACACUGACCUUCAUCAGAAUUAUAAGGUGAUAUAUUAAUAUAUUAUUUGAUCCAGCUUCUCCAUGUGUCAGAUAGCGAUAGGAUGGUUAAGUCCAGUAAAUUCUUAUAAUAGCAGAUUUUUUUCCCAAAAUCUAGACGACAGUACAAACUUGGUAAUCUCCAAGUUCAUGAUGUCUGCAUUUUCCUGCCACUUUUAAUGGCUUGACCUCCUGAUGCUAUCAGAAAAUAGAUGGAGUAUCAAGUAGGAAAACAAAUGAAUAUUGCCCUCAUUUGAAUUCUGUCAUUCAGCAUGUACUCUAGAACCUGAACCUAAUGCCCACAGACUACCUCUUUAGUUUUUCUUAGAUUUCAUUCAUUUUAAAAAAAAGUCUCAUUGUUGGAUAGCUUCAUUUUUAGAAAAGAUUUGAACUUUUCUCAUUCAGUGCUGUGUCAUUUCCCCAUACAGAUGCUUAUAAUUUUUGACAGCUCUUAUAUACCAAUUUUUAAAAAUGUAAUAGUGAUUUUCAACAUAUGGUGCAAGUCUUGCUGGUGUGUGUUUAAUGUGGUGACACUUGCCAAAACUGCUUGGCAAAACAUGUCAAAUAGGAUGCCUGAGUCAGAAUGCUAGUGUAAAUGUCUCUAAACAGCAGUAUGUAUCAUUAUGAUAUAUUUUUGUAAACAUAGUGAUGGCUUCUUUCAGUCAUGUAAGUACUGGAUAAAAAUAACCACUUCACUUGAAAUGAUGUGGAAAAUGCCACCCAGUUGAGGGCCCUCUGCAGUUACUUGAAUUAUCAGCCAGUGGUUAGAGGACAGUGAAGAAUUAAUGCUGGACAACAUGAAGUGCAAAAGUAAUAACUCACCAGUACUUGCCUCCUAAUUAAAAUUCAAAACUAUAAUGAGUAUAUUUACCUGUUAGAGACCACUUUUACCCUCCAUGGUGUAUCCAGUUGCAAAGAACAUUCAGAGGACUUCACUCAUCUAAUGACCAGCUCAGUCAGUAUGGCUUAUUGAUAGUACUGAAUUACCGUAUCUUUGUGGUAAAGUACCAGAUUAAAUUUCCUCAUUGCUGUCCAAAACUGGCUAAUAGAAGCACUAGGCUUUCACUGAAUCACAGUUCCCCAAAUUACAAUAAAAAAUAUAUCUGCUAAGAUGACUUACUCAAAAAGUGUGUUCAUUGUCAGAAUUGCCCCAGUACAAGUAGCCUGAUGGGUCUUCCCUGCAUUGGAAAACUAUUCAGGCCGAUUCAAAACCACUGACAAUAGCUAUAGCUUAUAGUUCAGAGUCCUUGUGUGCAGGUGUUUUGCUAAGCACUUUAUGCCUCCUCUCAUUUAAUCCUCACAAGCACUCCCUAGGCUGUUAUUGUUAUCCCAUUUUAUUGAGCUUAUUACUCAGCUAAUAAUGGGAAAUCUUGGGGUUUAGAAAGUGGAAUGACUCGUUCAGUUUUCUCCAGUAGUUCCAGUUUUCUCCAGCUCUCAAAACCCAUCAAGACUUUGAGAUAGAUUUGUUGUUUAAUCAAAGUAGUGAAAAAAAUGACUAAUUUGUUCACAUUUCCAUCGUAGGGUUCCCAGUACAAAAAUGCAGGGAUAUAAAAGCAAAAGUUUGAACUCAGUGAAGUGAUGUUCUUCAGGAACAGAUAGAUGUUAGACGUGGCACUGGACAUCAGUUAGCCAGCAUUCCUUCACUUUUCGCAUUUGUUGUAUUCGUAGCCUUAGAUUUGAUGAGUCUGGUUUGGAAGAGAGGGUUUUAACCAUGACGUCACUGUGAGAAUUGUCGUGAAGAUUUUGUAGGAAAAUACAGUAAUCUGUUGAUCCUUUCCUGUAGUUGUGGCUUUGACACCUCUGGCUGUGUUUUAAGUUUCAAGAGCUUGCUUCGGCCAUCAGAGCCUGGGUUUGUUUCUAGGGAACAGGGCAUGCCAGGCCAUGAGAGGGGUCCUGAAACCUUGAAGGUCACUGCUGCAGUCUGACCCUGCCCUAUUUAAGCAUUGCCUCUGUGUGUGUGUCUCCUCUCUGGAACUUCCUGUAGCAGCCUGACACUGGGGCCAACUUGCCUUUACUCUAUUUUCUAUGAAGAACACAUGUGCAGAAACUGUGACAAAUCCAUUGAUCCUGAUAUUUUUAUUGUUGAAGUCUUGUUGAUUCUUUAUUAAUAAUUUCUAUUUGAUUGUACUGUGUAGAGUUAAUACCCACUAGAGAUAUGUUAAUAAAGCUAUAAAUGCAUAGUGUAAUACAGGAUAGCAAGAUUUUUUGUGAACAAUUUAUAUAGAAGAGUAAGUUGUUUUUUAAGUGUUAGGCACAUUUCUUUUAGGAACUUAAAAUGUUAUAAGAGUUUUUUAAACAUUCAAUAUUUUUAAUUAUAAGAAACAUUUGUUACUAGAGCCAGUUAUUUCAGGUGUUCUAAUUGGAGUAUUGAUUUUAUUACUUCAUAUACCUCUAGAAUGCCACAUGUUCUGUUGGAGAUAAAGUUGCACAAUAAAUGUCAAGUUUCUGUUAAGUGUUUUAACUUGCUUUUUGCAUCUUUCUCAAAUUUAUUCAAGACGGUUUUCUGGGUGUUUUUUUCUUUAACAAAAUUUUUUUUUUGCCUUGACACUAGGGCUUUUCUGCUUGACUCAGAAUGCUAAGAAAAUGUUACAUGCUUAACGCCCAUAUAAAAGAUAGUUGUCAGGGAACUGACCAGAACUCCUCCAAAAAAUCCAUUUGAUCUAGUGAAUGAAAGGGACAACCAGUGAUGAAGUGAAAGUAACGUGAUCCAAAAUUUCUGUCCAGCAUUUUGUACAUUCACACUUUAAAAAUACAUGCUUCUAUAGUUCCAUUGUUCAGGGAGAGGAGGAAUGCUACAAUGUCUUCUCUUGACCUUUUAACAGUGAAAAGAUGUUGAUUGUUUAUGAACAGUGACCUCAUUACAAAAGCAAAGUAGCUAUGGCUAAAUAAGGUGGCAUGGUGGCUUCCCACUA
ensembl:lincRNA